rnacentral:rRNA from 1 species
AAAGCUCGCGGCUUUCCUGGCAUGCUUGGCUCAAUAGAUUGCUUGCAUUGGAGUUGGAAGAAUUGUCCAAAGGCAUGGCAUGGGCAGUUCCAUGGCCAAAAAAAGGGUGCCACUAUAAUCCUUGAAGCGGUGGCCGAUCAAGAGACUUGGAUUUGGCAUGCAUUCUUUGGGAUCCAUGGAUCUUUGAACGACAUCAAUGUUGUCAACCGGUCACCACUGAUGAAUAAGAUUGCAAAUGGUGAGUUGCCACCAGUGCAGUUUGUAGCAAAUGGCCGUACAUACAACUAUGGCUAUUAUCUAGCGGAUGGCAUCUAUCCAAAGUGGCAAACCUUUGUC